UAUUUAUUUUGUUUUGUUAAUUUUGUUUUUAUAAAGUCAUAUUUAUCUGCACUAUAUCUUUUGGCGAAGACAUUGUUCAAAUUACAAAUGCGACGACAUUGAGAAUUGAGAACGCUAAUUACACGCCGGAGGAAAGAGCUGCUUUUCCGCUGAUUGAACGUUUUGAUUAAUGUUUAUCAUCCAGAGGCGAGCCGGUCGUUGGUCUAAAACGAGCUUUGCUUGCGGCAGUCUUUAUCGGGAUUAUUUAAUCGACCCGAAAGAAUUGGCGCCGUAAAUUGCGCGGUUGAAAUAUGCGGGCACGUCUUCCGGGUGUUGCUGAUAAGGACUUGCGCGGCCGACUUUCGAAAGCUUAGACCUUUUUCAGGUUGAUCAGAAGCCGAAGCUGAUUGAACUACGCUUCACAACACUUCUCAAAUGACGCAAAAAUGAGGAACAAUUAGAAAAUGUUUUUUAAAGCUUCAGGGAUUAAAUUGACAAAGAGAUCGAAGGAAGUUUUCAAUCUCGCUACACUAAUAAAGGAUUAGACGGGGAGGAAAACGAUGCGAAAGGAAGAGCAAGGUCUUCAAACUUACAGAGGGUGAAUCCAGGUGAAUAGGUGAACCGAUCGAUCAACGGUGAACGGCAGGACGAGCUAAUCGACACAGUGCCGAGCGUUGUUUAACCCGCAACCUGUCAUCUGCGCCCGAUCAUAGUGCACAGGCCUAGACGUUCUAUGCACGAGCGGAGACGACGCUAGCGACGACGGUCGUACGGCACUGACAAUCACGAAAGUGAAAGCCAGGUGUAAUACACCGCCAAUCGACCUCGAAAACGCGUAACACUCCCGCGAGAGUAGCAACGCUAUAGAGCUCGGGAGAGAUAUUGCGCGAUGCUGAAAAGGCUAGAAAAAUGCUCAGGCGAGCCACGAGCAAUAGGACAGAGAUCCUCGUUCCCUUCUCGCGCGCGCGCUUCGCAUCGAGAUGCAAAUAACGCGCUAAUCUCACGGCGACGACGUUUUCUUCAUUGUGCGCUUGGAUAAUAAUCGUCCGCGGACUCGCUCACCCGGAUGAGAAGGCGACGGGCAUUGUGACUCGCAACUGGAGAAUUUCCUGAGUCGCGUUCUCCAAAUCGUUGCCUUUCGUUUUAUUUAUUUAUUUUUUUUUAUUAACUUUGUCGUUUGUCCACUUGCUUUAACGGCGAUUUUGUUUUUUUUAUUAAGUAGCAAAUAAAGCGUAGCGGUAGUGAUACCGAAGAGAAAGUAUAACUUGGUUGGCUUCGGACGAGAUUAAUUUAAUUGUAAUUAGUUUGCAACAAUGCAAUUAUAGAUAAUAAUAAGGUUGUGUAAUCUAUUGGAGGAUGCGUUGUUAUGUCUACGUUAUUUUUUGACUUUAUUUGUCACUGAAGAAUAAUACGAUAAUAUAUUUUACUUAUUGAUGUA